GAAAGAGAUAAGCAGAAAUUAGAAGCUACAGUGAAGCCAAGUUUUUAACCUAUAACUGUAAAGUAUCAGAGAUCAACUACUGAUUAGAUAAGUGUAAAAUAGAUGAGGGUGGUCAGACCCAAGGGCACAAACAUCAACUGAGAAGAACACACUGGACAGCAUCACCCAUUAUUGUGCAGGAAGAAAGGCAAGGUGAAUCAGAUCUCCUUCAGCUGAGGUUUAAAGGGAAAUAUUCAAGUUAAGAAGACUUUUUUUUGAACAGAUGACAUUGCACUAAUGGUUAGUUUCAACAUGAAAUCAUCUGGAAAACGAGGAAGCUAAAUUAAAGCACCGCAAGAUUGUGGUCAAGAGGACACUGUGAUGGUCUACAACAGAGGGAUGAUACCCAAGAAAUGCAACCUGUUCAGGAGGAAGACCAAGAAGACAAGUGAUGAUGAAGACACACAGUCACUUGACUUCACGCUCGCAGUCACCAGCUCAGAUACCAACAAUGCAUGUAAGAUAGCUUAGAGGCAGGAUCUGCAUGUGCAGGGACACCAAGUUCAAAUACACAGCAGUCACGGCAGGGACAAUGUUAGCCCAGGUGUCAGCUCUACAGAGGGUAAGGUCACACACAAGUUCUGCAGAAGAGGACUCAGGUGAGGUAUUUGAUGGGACAAGCUACAGAAAAAGGUUGAUGGGUUGACAUAGUGAGGUGCUUGAUUCAUUGACAAGCCUGCAUUCAAUGUCUAGCACUGGGCUUUGCACAGAAACCGGAAUUCAAUCUUUAUAGCAUAGUUCUGAUGGCCAAUUCCAUCAAAACACUCCUGGAUCCUAUCUGAUGCAGUGCCUGGUGACCAAUGCUUCAGCUUCCAUUGAAGCAUGAGCAGCUUCCACCAAACUCCCAAGUGCUGCAAUGGAAUCUCAGCCUGAUGUUAUUCAACUUUAGACUUCUGUAACAAUGGCUUUGAUCCACAAACAUUCACUCCCUCCACCACCAAAGCACCGUAGCAACAGUGUGUACCAUCUACAAGAUGCACUGUAGGAAUUCACCAAGGUUUUUUAGACAGCACCUUCC